rfam:Stegodyphus mimosarum contig17987, whole genome shotgun sequence.
GCCUUCGAGGUAUAGUGGUUAGCACGCUCGACGCGUAACCGAGAGGUCCGUGGUUCGAUUCCCGGCGAGGGCA